GUGCUUUUCUUCCCCCCGGGUGUAAGUAGCCAGAGGAAUUAGUACCCUCCCCCCUACUAGAAAUACAUUCAUGCAACAACCCCUCGCCUAUAUAUUCCAAAUAUUGUGUCAACAUGAAGUAUUCGUAGUUACGCCAACACUGAACGUAGGCUCGCGUUGCCACGUCAUGUUAGUCAUGGCAACACGAUAAUUGUUUUUUAAUUUUUGGUACAAACCGGGAAAAAAUAGAUGAAAUUUGAACACUUUUAAAUGCAGAACUAUCAAUUUCUAAAAUAUAUAAAGUAGGUAUAAUAUGUCUAAUGUCACAGGCAACAACAAAAUCCCCCUAGUAUUAAACUAUCAUCCUUUCAAUUUCAAAGUUAGAGAUGUCAUCAACAAGAAUUUCCAUAUUUUGAAAAACGACCCUGAAACAUCUUCCAUUUUCUCCGAUAACCCCUUAGUCUCUUUUCGACACAGCAAAAAUAUCCGUGAAACCCUUGUCCAUAGCUCCCUAACACAGGCUUUGACGUCACAGAAAGGCACUUUUCCUUGCCUGUCGUCGAAAUGUAAAACCUGUGAUUUUAUAGAUUCCACCACUAUUG